rnacentral:rRNA from 1 species
CCUACGGGACGCAGCAGUAGGGAAUCUUCGGCAAUGGACGAAAGUCUGACCGAGCAACGCCGCGUGAGUGAAGAAGGUUUUCGGAUCGUAAAACUCUGUAGUUAGAGAAGAACAAGUAGGACAGUAACUGCUCUUACCUUGACGGUAUCUAACCAGAAAGCCACGGCUAACUACGUGCCAGCAGCCGCGGUAAUACGUAGGUGGCAAGCGUUGUCCGGAUUUAUUGGGCGUAAAGCGAGCGCAGGCGGUCUUUUAAGUCUGAUGUGAAAGCCCUCGGCUCAACCGAGGAAGGGCAUUGGAAACUGGAGGACUCGACUGCAGAAGAGGAGAGUGGAAUUCCAUGUGUAGCGGUGAAAUGCGUAGAUAUAUGGAGGAACACCAGUGGCGAAGGCGACUCUCUGGUCUGUAACUGACGCUGAGGCUCGAAAGCGUGGGGAGCAAACAGGAUUAGAUACCCCAGUAGUU